rnacentral:rRNA from 1 species
UGGGGAAUAUUGCACAAUGGGGGAAACCCUGAUGCAGCGACGCCGCGUGAACGAAGAAGGUAUUCGUAUCGUAAAGUUCUGUCCUAUGGGAAGAUAAUGACAGUACCAUAGAAGAAAGCUCCGGCUAAAUACGUGCCAGCAGCCGCGGUAAUACGUAUGGAGCGAGCGUUGUCCGGAAUUAUUGGGCGCAAAGGGUACGCAGGCGGUUUAAUAAGUCGAAUGUUAAAGAUCGGGGCUCAACCCCGCAAAGCAUUGGAAACUGAUAAACUUGAGUAGUGAGAGGAAAGUGGAAUUCCUAGUGUAGUGGUGAAAUACGUAGAUAUUAGGAGGAAUACCAGUAGCGAAGGCGACUUUCUGGACACAAACUGACGCUGAGGUACGAAAGCGUGGGGAGCAAACAGG